rnacentral:lncRNA from 1 species
CAACUUAUGUAAAGUAUUUCUCUGCCUUAGUUCAGGCUUUCAGACCGUGGCAGACAGUGCUCCACAUUCCUGCUCAUCUGGUUAUGCCCCUGCUUAAAUGACUUCAAUAACAACGAUGGUAACAGUAAUAGUAAUGACAGCUACCAGUGCUUCCUUUGUGCCGGCACCACCUGAGGCCCAUUCACAGUGGCUCUUGACCAUUACACUUCCUGCCUCUUGCCAAUUACCUCCCUCCAUGCUGGGAUCCCUUCCACAAAUGAUGUGACUUUGGAGUCCCUUUAAAAUCCAAAGCUUUGACACUAAGCCUAGAUUCAAAUCUGAGUGGGUUGGGAUAUUGGGUUCGGCUGUGUAAAUGUAACAGAUGCUCAAAGUAGCAGUGAUUUAAACAAGAUGCCAGUCUUUCCCUCUGGUGUAGAAGUCCUUGCAGGCAUGCAGCUCUGCUCUGCGAAGCUGUCAGAGGCCCGGGCUCUUUCUGUGCUUUGCUCUCCCUGAGGUGUCCCCUGCUUCACGGGGUUCAUGACAGGCCACCACAUCCAGGGUUUAGGGACACAACCCAGAAGUCCCUCAGACCAGCUGCAUUCAGAUCCUACAGCCAGAUCUUAGCUUGAGGCUACAGGCAGGUGCAAGUGAGGCUGGGAAUGCAGACUACUCUGGGAGGCAGGCUCAAGUUCCAUUAGUGUGGAAGGAAGAACUGAUACUGGGGUUCAACCAGAAGGCCUUCAAACUACUGGUUUUUAGCCGUGUGCGUUCCUCCUGGUCCUUCAAAAGCGAUGCCAAGAUGGGAUUAGCUGUGCAUGAGAUUUCUCCGGGAAUGCGGGUUUUGGGGCAGUGGACACACCUGAGCGGAGCUUGCCUUAGAAAGCUUCAGACAACACUGAACUUCACCGCAGACGCUCCCCUCAGGCCUCCGGGAAUAUCAGGAAGCACUUUCAAAAACAAACCCACCUCCUCUUAGGGCUGGCCCCGUGGCCGAGUGGUUAAGUCCGCGCGCACCGCUGCAGGCGGCCCAGUGUUUCGUUGGUUCGAAUCCUGGGCGCGGACAUGGCACUGCUCAUCAAACCACGCUGAGGCAGCGUCCCACAUGGCAAAACUAGAAGGACCCACAACGAAGAAUGUACAACUAUGUACUGGGGGGCUUUGGGGAGAAAAAGGAAAAAAAAUAAAA